rnacentral:rRNA from 1 species
UACGGAGGGAGCUAGCGUUGUUCGGAAUUACUGGGCGUAAAGCGCACGUAGGCGGCUUUGUAAGUCAGAGGUGAAAGCCUGGAGCUCAACUCCAGAACUGCCUUUGAGACUGCAUCGCUUGAAUCCAGGAGAGGUGAGUGGAAUUCCGAGUGUAGAGGUGAAAUUCGUAGAUAUUCGGAAGAACACCAGUGGCGAAGGCGGCUCACUGGACUGGUAUUGAC